rnacentral:rRNA from 1 species
UCUUGACCUCGGAUCAGGUAGGGAUA